rnacentral:rRNA from 1 species
UACGUAGGGGGCAAGCGUUGUCCGGAUUCAUUGGGCGUAAAGAGCGUGUAGGCGGCCAGGUAGGUCGGUUGUGAAAACUGGAGGCUCAACCUUCAGAGGUCGACCGAAACCAUCUGGCUAGAGUCCGGGAGAGGAGAGUGGAAUUCCUGGUGUAGCGGUGAAAUGCGCAGAUAUCAGGAAGAACACCCGUGGCGAAAGCGGCUCUCUGGAACGGUACUGACGCUGAGACGCGAAAGCGUGGGGAGCGAACGG